UUAAAGAAUUUGAAGACCUCAACUUGCAGAUUUGCAUACUUGGAAAAUUUGAAGACUUUAGCUUGCAUACUUGGAAGAUUUGAAGACCUCAACU
rnacentral:pre_miRNA from 1 species